CCGGGCCUAUUUUAUUUACAGAAAAUAAAUAAAUUAAAAUAAAAACCAAUUAUAGGUCCAAAGUUUACUUACAGUUUAGCCCAAAUAUUAAAACACAAAUCUAAUCCAAAUCCAUUUGCAAAAUUUUGGACCCCAAAGUUGAGACAGAAAAUAACCCGGAAAAGGUCCAAUCUAAGACUAAUUAAUCAAUGCCGCAGUAGUAUCCCUUCUUCUUGGCUAUUUGAGGUAAACCGAUAGAGCCCAGGCCAGAAGUUUCUGGAAUAUAUGAGAGUAGCAGUAGAAUUGGGUUCCCACGAGCGGUUCCCACGCACGGCUUCCAUGGCCUUCUCCCCAUACAGCUCUGCGUCCGUAGAACCUGCAAAGGAAUAUACAAGAAGAAAAAUGGGCUAACAGAAUACAGCAAAAUGACAGCAAGCAAAUAUAAUUUUAUUUUUCUGUAACACUCCUAACCUGUAUCCGUUGCCGGAAUAAGAUUAUGAGGUAUUACUUGACUGAAAAAACUUAUAUAAGGUCAAAGAUACUUACCAGACAUAAAUUAUCAACAAUGCAAACAUGUAUCAUUGAUUUUCCAUAAGAGCUCUUAUAAAUUUCUAAAAUGACUCACUAUCAAAACAUAACCGAAUAUCUAAUAACAAAUUAACUACUAUCAAGUUAUAACUAAAACAUUUCACCACAUUAGUUCAAUUAUAAGGCUUCUCUAAACAAAAUGAGCAAGCCAUCUUCGCAUGGCUGUAAUGUAUACAAAGUUGAAAUAUCAUUCUACCUAUAGUCUAUCCUAUACAUGCCUUAAACCAUAAUGAUAUACAAUCUUCUCAACUCACAUAAUGACUAGAUAGUGUGAUGAUAUCUCUGGCCCUUCCAACUCGAGCUAAAGUAUAUACCUAUAAGAAAUGGAAAAGAGAACACGAAGUAAGCUUCAAUGCUUAGUAAGUUUUAAGCAAUGCAAACAAUUAAUUUACUUAUAGAUCGAUUAUUCAAAUUUUCAAGAAAUCAUUCCUAGAUAAUUGCCAUUUUGGCCAAGUAUCUAUGAACAUAAUGCAUAUUUAGCAAAUUCACCUCACUUGAAUCUGAACUCAAUUAAAACCAAAUAUUGAAAUUAUAAAUAAGAUCAUAAGAACUCGAAAAGCAUCUCAUUAACAAGUUUUAACCAUGUUUGCAACAAAAUCACAAAUUCACUACAAGCUGUCUUCCUGAACAACAGUCACUAAAUUAUUUAUAACUAGAGCUAAGAAAAACCAAAUCAAGUGCCGUUAAUUUUCCCUGAAAAUAGACUCAUAUAUAUUCCAUCCAUCAAAUUUUCAGAAUUUUUAGUUUGACCAAUCAAUACCAGGUUUUUAUUGAAGUUUCCCUUGUUUCACUGUUUGACUAAUCUGACCACUCUUCACUACGAAUAAAAUUUCUCAUUAUAAAGAAUUCGAAAUAUGUUAUCGUUUAUUUCAUUUGAAACUAGACUCAUUAGGGAGUCUAAGAAUAUAAAUUUUAUCUUAUAACCAUUUUUUUACCAUUUAUAAUGAUUUUCUGAAAAUAGAACAGGGGACCUCGAAGUCAUUUUGACUCUGUUCCACGCCACUUCAAAUAUCUCAUUAUUGGCAACUCUUUUGCUUACACGGUUUCUUUUAUAAAAACUAGACUCAUUAAGAUUUCAUGACAUAAUUUAUUCAGUCUCUAACUCAACUUCCACAAUUUAUAGUGAUUUUCUGAAAUCAUGUUACUGCUACUGUCCCAAGCAGAUUUAUUACCCAUUCUUUGGAUUCAUAUUAUUUAACAUAUAUAUCACCAAAUCAAUCUCAUAUAACCUUUCACCAUAACCGAAUACACACAUACACAUAUGAGAUUGUCACAUAUACUUCUCAUUUCGUAUUCAUGAUUCAAUUCCGAUCAAUCUAACAUAUAAAAGUAUAUAAUACAUACCUGACCGACUUAAUGUAUUGAACAUAUUCAAUGGUAGUUUACUACGAACAUUCGAAAUCAUAAUCUUACUCCAAUCAUCGGCAUUAAGUCUGCUAGAUUUAAAACCAAAAUCAAAUCACCACUACAAAGCAUGCGGGACUUUAAGCCCGGAUAUAAUACCAGCACAAAUGCCUUCGGGACUUAGCCCGGAUAUAACACCAGCACGAAUGCCUUCGAGACUUAGCCCGGAUAUAAUUCUCCAUUAUCAUGCACACAUAUAUAUAUAUCAUAACACAUUAGCAUUUCAUUUACAUUAUUUGAAUACAAGCACAACAUGCUUAUCAACCAUUCCACUUUCGGCUCAAUAGCCACAUACAAAGAACACGAUUUCGUUUCGCUAUCCAACAUGAUUUCUAUAACCAUUCGGCUACAAGUCAUAUGCACAAAUUAUUUAUCCCACUACGUAAUUCAAGUAGAACUAAUAGGUCACAAUUUAUUUAUUAUGCUUAUAUACCAUGAUUUUAUCAAAUCAUAAGCUAAGUUUCAUUACUCAAAGACUUACCUUGACUGUCGUCGAAUGACUACGGAUAUGUUAUUUGGUUAGUUUAGCUUUUUCCCUUAUCCGAAUUAGGCUCCUUAAGCUCUUGAGCUAGAUUAAACAAAUUCACUUGUCACUAAUUCAUUAAUCAUGCCUUUUAUUCAGUUAUAUUAAUAAUUUAAAACACAACAUCACCAAGCUAUUACUCACAAUCACGUUCGGCAAGGACCAAUUAAUAAACCUUAAAUUCAAAAUAACUUCAAUCUUAUGAUUUUACAAUUAUCUUAUACUUUCACAUAUAACUUAUUUAUGGCUGCAUAUAUAUAUUAUCAAAGUAUCUUUCGGUUCCAAAACUCAAUCAUUAAAACACGUGCAUGUACACACAUAAACAUAUACUUAUGAAUUAAAAUAUAAUUUCUUAUGCAUAAGCAUAGCAAUGACCGCAUAAACACUCAUAUAUAUAUACAAUAGAUGCAUUAACAAUUUAUCAUUCAAUGACUAAGCCAAAACAUCUUUAUCAUAUCAUUUACACUUUUGCUUACAAGUAUAUACUCUUAAAUCAAGGUAUAACAAUCACACGUGUAUAUUUUUAUAAGUAUGUAUAAUCAUGUUCAUACAAGUAUACACAUAAUUCACAAUUUAGUUUUGUAUGCAUAUAUCACUUGAAGCAUCAAACCCAAUUCAUUAAUACCUAAUUUAACAAGUUCAAAACUCAUUUCGACAAUGAAGUUCUUGAUUUAGAACAAGGAUAAUCCCUCUAUUCACUAUCCAUAAUCAAAUUCGGCAACCAUAUACACUGAAAUUUAACAUUCGUUCCUUCCCUCAAAAUUCAAAUUCAUAAUUCAUUUCUUGCCAAUUGUCGAACAUCAAUAGCCAUUUAGGACAAAUAUACCUCAUACUAGCAUUAUUUUAACCUACUAUGUACUAUUCAUGCAUUUUAACCCUUAUAGCCAAUUACUAUCUAUCUAACUAGCCACAACUAACCUUAUUCAUCAAGAUAUAAAAUCAAACAUACCUCAAAUUGCCUUCACAAGGGCCGAACACCAUAGAGCCUAAUUGUUUCUUUGUUCUUUAAGCUACGGCAAUUGAAGGAAAGUAAAGCGUGAAAACUUUGUUUUCACCACCCAAUUUCUUAUUAAUUCCCAAUUUCCAACAUUAUUUCACAUUUUAAAGCAUCAAACACAAGAAUUCUUAUCAAAGCAUCCAUGGCCGAAACAUGCUUAACAAUUAUAAACAAGAAUUGGACCAUGAGUUAGCUAGACAACUUAACAAUAACCUCAAUAAUCAAGUUUCCAUCAAAAUUUUCAAGAGAGCUUACCUAAUAGAAGAAAACAAAGUGCCAAAUGCCUUAGGAAUUUUUUUCUCCUCCCCUCCUCACAAGUUCGGCUAGGUGAGAAGAUGAAUCCCCCAUGAAAACAUUGUUUUUAUCACUAUUGUUAUAAUAUUAAUAUUCCUUUAAUAUUAUAAUAUUCAUUUCAUAUUAUAAAACAAUUUAACUUAUAAAAUAAAAAUAAUAAAAUCAUAUUUUAUUCAUGAUUCAUCAUCAUUACGCCCACUACACUUAAAGAUGGGCUAUUUGACAUGCAAGGACUCCUUUUUUGUAACUACAACUAUUCAACCACUUUUUAAUUUUGCCUAGCAAGAUUUCAAUGUUUAACAACUAAGCCCUUUUUGAUUAAUUCACAUCAAAUGACAAAAAUCAAAGCAUUCAAAGAUUCACACAUGCAUUUUCACAUAUAUUAGACAUAGAAUAUAGUAUUUAAUUAUUUUCGUGUCUUGAUUUUGUGGUCCCGAAACCACUUUCUGAGUAGGGUCAAAUUAGGGCUAUUACAUUUUUUUUCUAAAUUCAGGCUAUAAAAAGCCUUGCUUAUACCCAUGUAUUUUUACUUACGCAUGCACACUAUCCGCAUAGAGAAUACAAAAAAAUUUCGAGAAGAAUUUCCAAAGGGUGAUCUUCUUCAGUUUUUUAAAUUGUUCACUUAUUUUUUUAUUUAUUUUUUCCUGCGAUUAUUUUCAUCAUUUUGCAUUUUAGAACAGAAAAAAAGAAAAUCAAGUUUUACCUUGCGAAUCGGCUUUUGACCUCUGUUCACUUCGUUGAGAUCGAAGUUGGAAGGGGGAUUUAUUAUAUAUCAAGCCUCGAAAUGACGCCAAUGAGAUCCCUAAUAUCUCUGAAAUACUAAGAUAAGGGGUGAGGGUCGGAUAGUAUUAGAUAUGUUGUUUUUCAAUUUCAGUUUCAUUUUUCUUGAACAAGUGAUAUUAGAUCUAAGAGAUUUGUUUUUUUUUUAAAAGGAAAAAAUAAAAUGGUUUACCAGAUUUCCUCGAGUGGAGCCUUCGAUGGUAGGAUCUGGUCAUUGCCCAUGCGUUAUUGGCCACCAAAUGAGAUGGUGGUUCUAUGGCUGCGGGUAUGAGCCCUAACAAUGUGAUUUUGGGGCUGUGAAUUUUGGUGAAAUGAGUGGCUGUGUUGGAGAAGAAAAUAGGAGAAGAAAGGUUUUAAAUAACAUAUUAAGCAAAACGGCACCGUGUAAGAAGGGUGGGGGGGCCUUUUGCGCCUAAAAUGGUCUAUUUAUGCAACAUAUCCUUCCCUUUUCGCGAACCUUUCAAUUAGCACCCAAUUCGCUUACCCGUUUUUUUUUAUUUAAUUUAGCCUUCUAAUUUGUGCGUUUUUUCACUUUGAUCCACGGUCUAGUACAGUGGGCGCGGGAUAUUUUCAAUUCCAAUCCCCGCGCAUUUGUGCACGUGGCACAUUGAUCCCAUUUUAUAAUUAUCUUAUUUGUAAAUUGCUUCUCCUGUUUUAAUUUUGUUUCAAUUAAAUCUUAUCUUCUUUAUUUACUGCACAUACAUUUUUUUUUACAUGCUUAAUUAUUAGUUGUGAUAUUUUGUGUUGUUUUUGGUAGUUGAAUUUUGUAAUCUUUUCUCUUUUAUUCCAAUUUUAAUAAUUAAUGUUUUAUUUGUAAUAUAAUUCAUUUUGGUUUGUGUAUGCUAGUAAUUUCAUGUUGUUUUGUAAUUUCUUUUGGAUUCAUCCCCAUACUUUAAUGCUUAUUAAGUAUAUGUUUAGUAUUUAUUUAAUUUACAUCCAUUAUUAAAGCCAUGAUAUUCUUAUACAUAUAAUUUUUAAUAAACUUGUAUAUAAUUGUGUUCUUAAAUUUAUUACGUAUAUAAUCUAUGAUAAAAUUAGGUUAAUCUUAUAAUUCAUAUUUUAACUAAAUGAUAUUUUGAUAUACAAUUAUUUCUAAAAUUUCUUCAUAUAUACAUUACCCAUAUUAAAUUAUUUUUACUAUAGUACAUGUUAUUAUUUUCAUAUAACUUUAUGUAAAUAUUUUUCUAUGUAUAUAUCUUCUUUUAAAGUUAUUUAUGUGUAUAAGAUAUUUCUUUUAAGGACCAUAUUUUAAAUCAUACCAUUUAUUUAUUGUAUACAUUCUCAUAUUUUAUUAUCCUUAUACAUGUAUUAUUCUCAUCAAUCCAAAUUAAGUUGUUGUAUGCAAAAUUAUGUUAUAUUUUGGUUUAAAUUUCCCUUUAUAAGUAUAGUUUUAAAGACAUACAUCACUAAAUUUAUGUAUUUUGUAAAUAUAAUUUGUUUUGUUAUGUACACUAUAUCCUAUCAUGUCUUUUUUUUCUUUUAUAUUUUAUAUGUUAUUUAAGCAACCAUGCAUAUUAUCAGCUUUUUAAAAUUUGUGUUUGAAAUAUUUUACAUAUUAUCCGAUUCAAAUAUUUUAUUCUACAAUAUUUACGUUAAAUAAUUAUAUAUCGCUAACUUUCAUAUCAAUUUGUUAACCUAUUUUAUGUGUUAAUUAAUUCAGCAUUAUUUUGAAAAUAUCUUGUACUAUAUAUUGAUUUCUAAUUCCAUGUUAUACGUAUUCGGUAAAUUAUUUUAUAGUAUGUCAUGUUAAUUAUUGUUGUAUAUCAUUUUUGUAUUGAUUGUUCGUCAUCCAUGAUUAAGAAUUUGGUCAUUUUACUUAGAAUAAUUGUAUGUAAUUGUGGAUUUGUUAAUUAUGACUUGUUGUAUCCUAUUAUUCCAUACUCAUUCCCCAGUUUUCAUACAAAUAUUUUGAUACAAGUCAUUAAGCAUUCCACUUUAAAACGGCUAAACGCGUUUUGAGCAAAUUUCCAAUUUUCUUUGUUAUUCAAAAAUUCUGAAAUGAGGCAAUAUCCAAUAUUGGGGAAUUCAGAAAAUCGUGCUCAAUCGUACUGGGUAUGAUUUUUCUGGUGAACUAAAUAUUUGGAUAACCUUUUAUAAUUUUUAGUGUACGAGUUUUCAAAAGUUGAAAAUCAAUCGCGUUUUAAAGGUAUAAGGGAUCGUAUCCAAUCGUACUGGGUAUGAAACUGCAUAUCUUUGAAACGAGAGAAUUUUGACUACUAAUUUAAAUUAUACAAACAUUUUAAAAAGAGUCAUACUUUGGAAAAUCUUUUCUUUAAAAGAUCAUUUGACAUAAGGAUAGCAUCAAAUCAAUUUGGUACCAAUUUUUUGGGCGUAAUGAGGGUGCUAACCUUUCUUCAUGCGUAACCGACUCCCGAACCCACUUUUUGAUUUUUCAUGAAUAAAACAUUUUAGUAGGUGGCCCAAUCACACCUAAAUCAAGAGAUUGGUGGCGACUUCACAUUUUUGUUUUCAAAAGUCGAUCUCCAUUGUUUUCAAAAUAAAAAAGGGUUUCGACAGCUUGGUGACUCCACUGGGGACUGAACAAAGAGAGUCAGGCAUAAAAUUGAUUGUUUGCUGUCCUUUUGUCAAAGAAUUUAAAAUUUAUUUCAAAAAUCAUGAUUCUUUUAAUUGCAUUUGUUUGCAUGAUUGUUGUGGUUCGAGUCUUGUAAGAAUAAUAUGGCCUUGCAUUGCAUGACCGCUGUGGUUAUACCUGUUAAGUGGGAGUAAUAAACUAUGCUUUCGUGAGGUUUUCACCUCUGUAUGGGCUAGUGGAUUGCUUCCGGGAUACAUUCGUACCUAUGAUUUCGUGAGAUUUUCAUCUCCGCAUGGUCAUAGGGAAAUGUAUUCCCCUGAACCGAACUCGAUCUAUAUGAGCCUAUAAUGGGUGAGGAUUGAGGAAUCUGCUGGUUCGGGUCUUUUACUCUAGAACCGAACUUCAUAUAGUGAACCUUAAGAGCUAUCCUUAGGUAAAGCUGCGAUAAGCCUUAGUCAUAGCCCAUAUGUGUGUUAUGAUUAUCUUUGUUGUUGUACUUGUCUUUUAUCACUUAUAUUUGAUACUAACUUGUGUUUUGUUUGAUUGUAUUUUACAUGAAAUUGCAUACUAAAGGAGGUGUUGGUUCGUAUUCGAUUACUAAGUUAGAAAGUUUAACAUGGAGAAUGAAUUUCUUAGUAAAGUUGAGGAUAAUGCGGCCAUCCGUGCAUGGUCAGAGAAGUUACAAACAGAGAAAGGGGAUAGCCUGACAGAAGGAUAUACAUCAGAGUUGCAGAACUUUACUCGCAUCAAUGUGACACAGAAUGAGCUGCAGGAGUUGAAGGAUAUAUGGACUCGUUGGGAUGAGGGCACUAAACAGUUGUUAUACCAGAGUUAUGGUAUACCAUACUUGCUCGAUGUUAAGGUGGAUAAGCGUUUGUUUCGAGGUAUGGCUCAAUUCUGGAAUUCUGCUUAUAAUUGCUUCACUUUUGGAGAAGUAGAUUUGGUUUCUAAUUUGGAAGAAUACACUACUUUGUUGAGUAGUCCAAAGGCUCAAGUUAGAAAAAUUUAUGCUAAGGUUAUCAAUGGUCAAACGUUUGCAAAGAGGCUGGUGAAUAUUUUGGGGAUAAGUGAAUCUUGGGUCACUGCUCGAAUUCAACAGAAGGGGGACAGUAAGUGUAUUCCAUGAGAAAUUUUGAGAGAUUUGAUUUUGACGCACCCGGAUGAAAAGAAAAGGGUCGAAAUUUUUGCCUUAAGCAUCUAUGGAUUGGUGAUUUUUCCUAGGGCUUUUAAGACAUGUUGAUGAUGUAGUUACUGAUUUGUUUGAUCGUCUCGGGAAGGGAGUCACACCUAUACCUACAAUAUUGGUCGACACGUUUAGAUCUUUGAGCAUGUGCCGGAGGGCAAGGGAAGGUCGAUUUAUUGGCUGUGCACAGUUAUUGAUGGUAUGGUUUCACGGGCAUUUUUGGAAAGUGAAUAAGGUAUCGUACCGGGUUUUCUCUGAAGGUUACUCCCUAUUAAAAGAUGAGAUAGUGAUGCAAAGGAGAGAUGAUAUUUCAAAACAAAAAUGGAUGGAAAUUCUCCAGAAUCUCAAGGAAGAUGAUGUAGAGUGGAGAGCUUUCUGGAUGGUUCCUGAUGAAAUCUUGUAUCGAUGUGGGAGCUAUAAUUGGUGCCAUUGUUGGGAAUUUAGGGAGCUACUGGAUAUACUCAUUUACUUGCACUAAGGCAAUAUAAAUCGAGGCAGUUCAUACCUACGACGCACGGGUUGGCUCAGAGUGAACUUUCGUAUAAAUGAGACCACUAUAGGAAGAAGGUUCUGGAAAUGUCUGAUGCUUGGAGGCAAAUACACUGGAUGAAAAGGCUGACUGUUGGUUCCAUGGUAACACCUGAAUACAAUGGAUGGUUUAGGAAAAGGGUCAAUGAUAAUAUUCCUAGAUCAAAUUUGGAAAGCGCUUGACCAAUGGAGGAGCAAUUACAUAUUGCCCCGUCGGAGUUGGAAAUUAUAAAGCAAGAUUUUGUGAAAAAGAGUUUCAUGUUUGGGAGAAAAAUCGAGCAGUUGGAAGAAGAAAAGAUGCACUUGAAUUUAGAAGUGGAGAUUCAAAAGUCAGAGGCAGAAAAACUACAGAAAAAGAAGGGUGAAGUUGAGGAAGAUUUGGAAGGCUUGAAAACGGAUUAUAAGAAGCUGCGCUUAUCAAUGAGGACUGCUGGGCUAGGAAAGACUUCGGAACAAUGGCGCUAAGAGGUUCGAGAAGAAAGAGCUAAGGCGGAUCAAUGGGAAAAGAGGUUCCAGGAGGCUCAAGCUCGGAAUAAAGUCUUGGAAAGAAGUCUGUCGGAGAGUAAGAAUGAAAAAGAUGAAUUAAGAGCCAGAGUAGCAGAACUUGAGAGAUCUCUCUGUUUAUAUUGGAACCGCAAUUCUGUGACAGAGUUGAAGGUAAGCUUAAGUAAGAUAGAGGCGAUGAAAGGGAAGAUAGAAAAGUUAGAAAUGGCAUUGAAGAAUUGUGAAAUGAGGAUUGAGUUCUUGAAGGCAAAUGAGGAGCAAUGGAAGAAUCAGCUUCAUCACUCUCAGGACCAAGUUAGAAGCAGGGAUUAUAUCAUGGGAGAAGCUGUAAUACAAAUUCGAGAAGUAGCUGACUACUUGCAGUCUUUGGCAGUACAAGCGGACGUAUUAAGUGUGAAGUACGAGCUGAAGUCAGAUAGGGGACAAGAACUAGCUUCGUUACUCAGGAAAAUUAAGGCCCUGAGUGUUAGGGCGAAGUCGUAUUUGUAACUCAGUUUUAUGUAAAGAAUUUUAUUUUCUAGUAAAGAUUUCUAAAAGGAAUUGAAUCAGAAUUGAUGCCUCCUUUGCAUUUAUGCAUUUUGCAUUACAUUACAUCAUAUGCAUUAAAGAUCAUAAUAAGAUUCUAAUUAAUUAAAAAUUAUUUCAGUAAUCUGGAAGCCAACCAAAACACACCAAAUACGCAUCCCUACGGUACGAGGAAAAAGACUAAGUCAAUGGACAAAAGACUGGAAAAGUUAGAACAAAUGCAAAAAGAUAUGCAAGAGCAAAUGCAGUCACAGAUAUAAGAGCAGCUGGUUAAGAUUCAGCAAGAUAUGAAAGAACAGAUGAUGGAGUCCUAAACAAAAAUGAUGAGUCAGUUAUCCCAGUUGCUAAUGGGAAGAGUGGAUAAGGGAAAAAUCCCUAUGGACAAUGUUGGAGAAAAUAAUGAGGACCCUCAAUAUCCUCCUGGCUUCACUCCUACACAUGUGUAGAUACCGCCUGAGAUUAAUUUGCCGAAACCAUCUGUUAUGAUCAGGCCUCAGCAGUUUCGGGCCGGAGCUUCAAUACCAAUGAAUUUUCAAGCUGGUUCAGGUUACAAUCCUGGUAACAACUCAAAUAAUCCAAUGGUCAUUGAUUUGGAUGAGGUCGUAAAAAAGGAAAGAGCAAAGGCGGAGUCACAAAGGCAAUUAGAGGAACGGUGUAAAUAGCUGGAGGAAAAGGUCAGAGCAAUGGAAGAUGUUGAUAGACACCCGGGAAUUGAUGCAAAAGAUCUGAGUUUGGUCCCAGACUUAGUACUACCAUACAAGUUCAAGAUGCCAGAAUUUGAGAAAUACAAUGGAACGAGCUGUCCUGAAGCUCAUAUCACUAUGUUUUGCAGAAGGAUGACAGGGUAUGUUAAUAAUGAUCAAUUGUUGAUUCAUUGCUUUCAAGAUAGUUUGGUAGAAGUGGCUGCUAAAUGGUACAAUUAAUUAAGUUUAAACAGAAUUAGUUCAUGGAGGAAUUUAGCACAGGCGUUCAUGAAACAAUACAGUCAUGUGACAGAUAUUACUCCUGAUAAAAUUACUCUACAAAAUAUGGAGAAGAAGCCAAAUGAGAGUUUCAAGCAGUAUACACAGAGGUGGAGGGAAAUGGCUAUUCAAGUUCAGCCACUGCUUCUAGAGAAAGAAACUACGAUGCUCUUCAUAAACACUUUAAAAACCUCAUUUAUAACUCAUAUGUUAGGAAGUGCCACAAGGAGCUUUGUGGAUGUGGUUAUGACAGGAGAAAUGAUUGAAAAUGCCAUAAGAAAUGGAAGGAUAGACGCAGGAGAAAGUCCUAAAAGGUCUAUGCCACGAAAGAAAGAAAAUGAGGUGAAUAAUGCGAACGUGGGAUAUUCAAAUUUUAUUAUCGUGAGUCAACCAAACGUGACAACUACUGGUCAGGGUUCAUCAAGGCAGGAGUCGGGAACUAGGCCGAAUAAUGAGAAGAUUCAAUUUACACCAAUUCUCAUGACAUACAAAGAGUUAUAUCAAAGUUUGUUCGAUGCACAUGUGGUGGCACCUUUUUACUUAAAGCCAAUACAACCUCCGUUCCCUAAAUGGUACAAUGCUAAUGCUCAAUGUGAAUAUCACGCAGGAAUUGUGGGACAUUCGAUAGAAAAUUGCACCACUUUUAAGAAGUUGGUUGAGAGAUUUAUUCAGAUAGGUAUUGUAAAAUUUGAUAAUGCGCCCAGUACUGAAAAUCCACUGCCUAAUCAUACUGAUAGCAGGUAAAUGCAAUAGAUGGAGGUAUUGGAAAAAGUACCAGGAUGGAUGUUUCAAAAGUAAAGACUCCUUUGAAACGGGUUUGGAAGGAGAUGGUAAGAAGAGGGUUAGUUACUUAGAGCACAAAAGAAAGUGAUAAUGGGAUAGAGAAUUAUUGUGAGUUCCAUCAUGAAGAAGGACACAGAAUUCAGGAAUGUAAAGAAUUCAGAGCUGUUAUUCAGGGUCUGAUGGAUAGCAAGGAAAUGGAGUUUUAUGAAGAGGGCAAAUAGGAGGAGUAUAUAUGUGCUUCAGAAUCUACAUCAAGUCCAAAAGUCAAUUAUCCUGUGGUCAUUAUCUCGCGUCCUAAGAAUAAAGUAGGGGUUCAAAUGGCGCCAAAGAUUAUAAUUCAAAAGCCAGCAGUUUUUUCUUACAAGGAUAGUAAACAGGUCCCCUGAAACUAUGACUGCAAUGUGACAAUCCCGGGAAAAGAGAGCUCAUUAAAGAAAGAUCGAAAUAUAGGCUCUCACACACACAGUGGAAGAUGAUAUGAUACCUGAAUAGAACCAGUGAAAGAAAGAGAUGUGCUGGUCGAGCAAAAGAAAGGAAAAUCAGUUUAACUUGAUGUACCUGUUAAUGAACCAGUGAAAGAAGAAGAAGCUAAAGAAUUCCUGAAAUUUCUGAAAUAUAGCGAGUACAGUGUGGUGGAACAAUUGUGUAAACAGCCAGCCCGCAUAUCUAUAUUGGCUUUACUACUAAGUUCAGAGGUGCAUCGAAGUGCAUUGAUGAAGGUGCUAAACGAGACAUAUGUAACUAACGAUAUUUCCGUCAAUAAGUUGGAUCAGUUGGUUAACAACAUAAGUGCAGACAACUUCAUCUUUUUCAAUGAUGAUGAGAUUCCGUCAGGAGGGAUGGGAACCACCAAAGCUUUGUAUAUAACUACCAGAUGUAAAGGGUACACGUUGCCGGGGGUAUUGGUAGAUAAUGGUUCAGUAUUGAAUGUGUUGCCUUUGUCCACACUAAACAAGUUACCUGUGGAUAGCUCUCAUAUGAAAGGAUGUCAGAACAUAGUUCGAGCAUUUGAUGGCACAGAGAGGAGAGUCAUGGGGAGAAUAGAAAUACCCUUGUUGAUUGGCCCAACCACAUAUGACGUAGAUUUUCUAGUAAUGGAUAUUAAGCCUUCUUACAACUGCUUGUUGGAAAGAUCUUGGAUACACUCGGCAGGGGCAAUACCUUCAUCGUUACAUCAAAAGCUGAAGCUGGUGUCAAAAGGGUGGUUGGUAACGAUAAAUACUAAAGAAGAUAUUAUCGCAACAGUAACUAGUGAUGCGCCAUAUGUAGAGACACAUGAGGAAGCCAUUGAGUGUUCUUUUCAGUCUUUGGAGUUUGUGAAUGCAACAUUCAUCACUGAGAGAGGUAGAAUUCUAAAGCCGAAAAUGUCCAAAACUACGAUGAUAGGUUUAUAGUUGAUGGUAGGCCGGGGAGCUGUAUCAGAAAAGGGACUUGGAAGAUGUCUUCAAGGAAGAAUUGUAGUUCCAAUGCUAAAAGAAAAAUAGGAUCGUUUUGGUUUGGGGUUCAAGCCAGAUGCAAGACAAAAGAAAAAGGAGUUAGAAAGAAGGCAAGAAAGAAGAAGAGCACGAGUGAGUGGUGGGGAAAUCAAGUGGGAGCCCAUGAUAAUUCCUCAUAUCUCCAAGUCUUUUGUAUCAGGAGGCAUUAUUUAUCCUGAAUAAAGGAUGCUGGAGAAAGAAAGCCUGGAAGAAGCAUUGGGAGAUGUGUACAUCAACGCCAUAUUUGAAGAGACAAUUGAAGAGGGGAUUUUGUCAAAUAUUUGCCCAUAUGAGCCUGGGAGUGUUCUAGACAAUUGGACUACAGAAGAUCUUCCUGUAGUUUUUAGAGCUUACUCAGAGUAAUGUUCGAAAUAAACUUGUUGUUUUAAGCCUAGAAACAAUAAAGAUUUCUUUGUGAAAUAGGCUCAUGUUCAAACAUUAUUAUUUCAAUGAAGUACAUUUUUUGCUAUCAUUUUGAGUAAAUAUUAUUCUUUUCACAAGCAAUCGUAUUAUUCUUUCUAUUUAAAUAAUUAUCUUAAUUCUUUCUUCAAUCAUUCUUUUAUUCAUAAACAUAUCAUACAAAGUAAAUAAUUACCAAAUUCAUUGAUUCUUUGUAUAUUUUUGUACCUAUAAUAGGUCCUUAGAUAUCAAUGUCAUGAGCGACGCUGUUACUGACUCAGAAUCACUAUUUGAGCAAGACAUGUGUUUGGAGGGAUCUCAGGACUUUGAAGAUGACAGAGAUUGUGAUUUAUCUCCGGACUUGUUAAGGAUGGUAGAACAAGAGGAAAAACAAAUGUUGCCUCAUAAAGAAACCGUAGACAUGGUGACUUUAGAAGAGGGAAAAGUUGAAAAAAUUGGAACAUGCAUAGCUGAAGAAACAAAACGAGACCUUAUUGGGUUGAUCCAGGAAUUCAAAGAUGUUUUUGCAUGGUCAUACCAGGAUAUUCUCGGUUUAAGUCCUGAUAUUGCGGUACAUUGUCUUCCCAUAAGAGAAGAUUGUAAGCCAGUACAACAGAAGCUUCGAUGAAUGAGUCCAUAUAUUGUUUUAAAGAUCAAGGAGGAAGUCAAAAAGUAGUUUGAUGCAGGGUUCCUUCAGGUGAUCAAGUACUCAGAAUGGGUAGCCAAUGUUGUGUCUGUUCCCAAGAAAGAUGGCAAGGUACGAAUGUGUGUGGAUUAUAGAGAUCUAAAUAAGGCAAGCCCAAAGGACAACUUUUCUUUGCCUCACAUUGAUACACUAGUGGAUAAUACAACUGGUUACUCAUUGUUUUCCUUCAUGGAUGGUUUCUUGGGGUAUAAUCAGAUUAAGAUGCAUCCUGAGGACAUGGGAAAGACUACUUUUAUAACCUUGUGAGGCACGUUCUGUUACAAGGUGAUGCCAUUUAGAUUGAAGAAUGCUGGAGUGACGUAUCAGAGAGCCAUGGUGACUUUAUUCCAUGAUAUGAUGCACAAGGAGAUUGAAGUGUAUGUUGACGAUAUGAUAGCCAAAUCUCGAACUGAAAAGGAGCAUAUUGAAGUAUUGAAAAAGUUGUUCAUGAGAUUGAGAAAGUUUCAGUUAAAGCUUAAUCCCACAAAAUGUACUUUUGGGGCUAGAUCUAGAAAGUUAUUGGGCUUUGUGGUCAGUGAGAAGGGAAUUGAGAUCGAUUCAGACAAAGUCCGGGCUAUACAGGAAUUGUCUCCACCGCGUACUCAAAAAGAAGUUCGAGGUUUCCUUGGAAGACUAAAUUACAUUGCACGGUUUAUUUCUCAAUUAAUAGAGAAGUGUGACCCUAUAUUCCGUCUUCUUAAAAAGCAUAACCCAGGGGAAUGGGAUGAUAAAUGUCAAAAGGCUUUUGAUAAAGUUAAAGAAUAUUUGUCAAGUCCUGCAGUGUUAUCACCCUCAAGUUCAGACAGGCCGUUGAUAUUGUAUUUAACCGUGUUUGGUAAUUCAAUGGGAUGUGUGCUUGGUCAACAUGACGAAUCAGGAAGAAAGGAAAGAGUGAUAUAUUACCUCAGUAAGAAAUUCACUGAGUGUAAGUUGAGAUAUUCGCCAAUUGAAAAAUUGUGUUGCGCUUUGGUUUGGACAGCACGAAGAUUAAGGCAAUAUAUGUUGUAUCAUACAACCUGGCUAAUCCCAAAGUUAGAUCCUUUAAAGUAUAUGAUGGAGUCAAAUGUCUUGAAUGGAAGGAUGGCUAGGUGGCAAAUUUUGCUUUCUGAAUUUGACAUAAUCUACAUGAGUCAAAAAGCUGUAAAGGAAAGUGCAAUAGCAGAUUUUCUGGCCUGCCGUGCUCUAGAAGAUUAUGAACCCUUGAAUUUUGACUUCCCCAAUGAAGAGAUAGUGUAUGUGGCAGCUGCUGAGGAGGACAAUACAAAAGGUCACUUUUGAAAAUUAAAUUUUGAUGGAGCCUCAAAUGCUGUGGGUAAUGGAGUUGGGGCAGUUCUGGUAUCCCCAGGUGGAUAUCAUUAUCCAUUCACAUGUAAAUUGGAUUUUGAUUGUACGAAUAAUAUGGAAGAAUAUGAAGCAUGUAUCAUGAGGCUCAGAGCAGCUAUAGAGUGCAAGAUCAAAUCAUUGGAAGUAUAUGGAGAUUCUGCAUUGGUAAUUUACCAACUUCGAAGUGAAUGGGAGACAAGAGACGCUAAACUAAUCAAUUACAGAAGGCUAGUAUUGGGGUUAGUUGAAGAGUUUGAUGAUAUUACUUUCAAUUACCUUCCUCGCGAUGAAAACCAGAUGGCAGAAGUUUUGGCUACUUUGGCUUCCAUGAUCAAAGUAAGCAGCCAGGAAGAUGUGAAGCCCAUUCGGAUGAGUAUCUAUGAGGCCCCGUCUUAUUGUUAUAAUAUAGAAGAAGAGGAAAGAGAUGAUCAUCCUUGGUAUCAGGAUAUAUUGCGAUAUGUGAGAAAUCGUGAAUAUCCAGAUCAAGCUACGGAGAAUGACAAAAGAACAUUGAGAAGGCUUGCCUGCGAUUAUGUUUUAGAUGGAGAGAUCUUGCACAAAAGAAGGAAAUAUUAGGUACUUUUGAGAUGUGUGGAUGCCGUGGAGUCCAAGAAAAUCUUGGAAGAAGUGCACGAAGGUGUUUGUGGAACACACGCCAAUGAGUUCACAAUGGCCAGACAAAUUAUGAGGUUUGGAUAUUAUUGGUCAACCAUGGAAGGAGACUGCAUCAAUUAUGCUAAGAAAUGUCACAAAUGUCAAAUUUAUGGUGAUAAGAUUCACGUACCUCCCUCGCAUUUGCAUGUUAUGACUUCCUCAUGGCCAUUUUCCAUGUAAGGCAUGGAUGUCAUAGGGCCAAUUUCACCAAAGGCUUCAAAUGGGCAUCGUUUCAUUUUUGUGGUCAUUGAUUAUUUUACCAAGUGGGUGGAAGCUGCUUCGUACGCCAAUGUAACUAAAUCGACAGUCAGUAGAUUCUUAAAGAAGGAAAUUAUAUGCCGAUAUGGAAUGCCUGAGAAAAUCAUAUCUGAUAAUGCGCUAAAUUUGAACAAUAGUACAAUAGCAGAGGUCUGCAGUCAGUUUAAGAUCAGACAUCAUAACUCAUCACCGUAUCGCCCGAAGAUGAAUGGGGAAGUGGAAGCAGUCAACAAAAAUAUCAAGAAAAUUGUGGGGAAAAUGACUGAAACUUACAGAGAUUGGCAUGAGAAGUUGUCAUUUGCGCUCUAUGCUUAUCGAACAUCUGUCAGAACUUUUACUAGGGCAACACAUUUCUCAUUGGUCUAUGGAAUGGAAGUAGUCCUACCCAUUGAAGUGGAAAUACCUUCUCUUCGAGUUUUGUCAGAAUUGAAAUUAGAUGAAACAGAAUGGAUACAGUCUCGAUAUGAUCAAUUGAAUUAGAUUGAGGAAAAGAGGCUAAAGGCUAUUCAGCAUAGACAGAUGUAUCAAAAAAGAAUGAUGCGGGCUUAUGACAAAAAGGUUCGCCCAAGAGAGUUUCAUGAGGGAGAUUUGGUUUUGAAGAAAAUUCUUUCCAUACAAAAGGAUUUUAGGGGAAAAUGGAUGUCGAAUUGGGAGGGGCCCUAUGUGGUGAAGAAAGCUUUCUCCGAUGGUGCAUUAAUACUGGCCGAAAUGGAUGGAAGAAAUUUGCCUAAUCCAGUGAACUCAGAUUCAGUUAAAAAGUACUACACUUAACAAGAGAGGGAAGCCAAAGUGAAAAUCCACAAAGGGCGCUUUGAGACUUUCAAAAAAAAGGGGGGGUUAAAGUGAAAACCCGCAAAGGGCCAAAGUGAAAACCCGCAAAGGGCGCUUUGAGACUCAAUAAUAAUAAAAGAAAGAAAAAGAGAAAAAUGAGAGGCCAAGGUGAAAACCCGCAAAGGGCGCCUUGUGAUCAAAGGGGAUUUGAGUUGAAAACCCAAAAAGGGCGGCUCAAAUAUGGAUCCAAAGAGAGAAAGCGGUGGUCUUGCUAUGCUUGAAUUAACCAUGAAGGGGGUAUGUUGCAUCUUGAGGCGUUGACAAAGUGCUUCUAAUAUCUUAAACACAUGUCAAGUUUGAAUUGGUCUUCAAGAGGUUCAUACAAUGAAGCUCAAGUUGCGAUAACAAGGGUACCUAGUCUUCAUUUUCAGUAAAUUGGUUAUCUUUGAAUUAUCCUUUCUUUUUCAAGAUACACAUUCCCAAAUUAAUGGCCAUUGUUGUUCUUUUGAUAAUUUACUUUGAAUUCAAGAUUAAUUCCAUUCCUGUUCAUUAUUACAAUUUGAUUGCAAGCAUGUUGCAUUGACAUAAUGAUGAAUGAACUAGUGAUGUUUUCACAAUAGAAGUUUUGCAUAUUACUCUAGGAGUUUCUAGAUAAUGAAAGAAUCUGAAGUGGAAUAGUUGUUUAGAAUACGCUCAAGUUCAAGGAUAUAUUUGAAUAAAUCGCCUAUUUAGAAUUAUUGUCCAAAUGAUGAUAUGGCGCUGGUGAUACAACUUUGAAGAAAUGAUCAGUACAAAAAGGGAAUUAUUCUCAAAAAAGGGUAAAGGAUAUUUGUAUACAUACAAAUACCAAAAUAUACAUUUGGCUAUAGCACAUGAGGAGUGAGGUAGCAAAUUGACCAAGAGGAAAAUUCAACUAUGAGUUGCAAUAUUUUGGCUCAAAAAGAUUAGUAGAAAGGACGUUGGAAUUAUAGUGGGGCAAGCUCGCCAAACGAGAUAGGUUUAUUUCUUUGGGAUACUCUGUCAAGGUGUUGGUUGAGCAAACGUGUCAGUAACAUCAUAUGAGUGACGAUACCCUAAAUUGUUAAAAUAGAAUCAUCCUCAUUUCUGCAUAUAUCAUUCAUAACACAUUUAGUUAGGAGCAUUGGGUUCAUUUUAAUCAUAGCAUCCUAAUUAUUUGGGCAUAAGCAUGAGCAUAUAAAAUGGAGUCUAUAGGAUAGGUUCCCCUGAAGACAAUGCAGUGACAUUAGGUAAAAAUUGAAGAUUUUAUCUCCCUGAAGUUGCAACGGAGCAGAUCUUCGUAAAUGAUGAAUCUUAUCUCCAUGUAUCGGCAAUGGAGCAGAUUUUACCACCAGCCUCAUCUUUUUGAGGUAGCAUGAGAGCAGGUUGAAGAAUGAGUCUUAUCUUCCUGAGGUAACAAGGAAGCAGACUGGGAAUUAAAGAUCUUAUCUCCCUGAAGUUGCAGCGGAGUAGAUCUUCACAGACAGUGAAUCUUAUCUCCAUGUAUCAGCAAUGAAGCAGAUUUUACCACUAAGCCUUAUCUCUCUGAGGUAGCAAGAGAGCAGGUUGAAGAAUGAGUCUUAUCUUCUUGAGGUAGCAAGGAAGCAAACUGAGAAUUGAAGAUUUUAUCUCUCUGAGAUUGAAGCGGAGCAGAUCUUCGCAGAUGGUGAAUCUUAUCUCUAUGUAUCGGUGAUGGAGCAGAUUUUAGCCACUAACCUUAUCUCUCUGAGGUAGUAAGAGAGCAGGUUGAAGAAUGAGUUUUAUUUUCCUGAGGUAGCAAAGAAGCAGACUAAGAAUUGAAGAUCUUAUAUCCCUGAGAUGGCAGUGGAGCAGAUCUUCGCAGAUGGUGAAUUUUAUCUCUAUGUAUCUGUAAUGGAGCAAAUUUUACCACCAGUCUCAUUUCUCUGAGGUAGCAAGAGAGUAGGUUGAAAAAUGAGUCUUAUCUUCCUGAGGUAGUAAGGAAGCAGACUGAGGAUUGAGGAUAUUAGCUCCCUGAAGUUGCAGUGGAGCAAAUUGAAAAUAAUGAAUCUUAUCUCCAUGUAUUGGCAAUGGAGCAGAUUUAACCUAUCAACCUUAUCUUCCUAAAGGUGUUUGGAAAAGAGGAGCGCCAAAAAGCCAAAAUUCAGCAAGACCGGGCAAAAUCGGCUCUUUUGAAGUCUUUGCACUAUUCCCGUUACACGUCAAUGAGCAAAGAGGGGCAGCUGUAGUUAACCUAUUUUGCCCGGGCCUAUUUUAUUUACAGAAAAUAAAUAAAUUAAAAUAAAAACCAAUUAUAGGUCCAAAGUUUCCUUACAAUUUAGCCCAAAUAUUAAAACACAAAUCUAAUCCAAAUCCAUUUGCAAAAUUUUGGACCCCAAAGUUGAGACCGAAAAUAACUCGAAAAAGAUCCAAUCUAAAACUAAUUGAUCAAUGCCGCAGCAGUAGCCCUUCUUCUUGGCUAUUUGAGGUAAACCGAUAGAGCCCAGGCCAGAAGUUUCUGGAAUAUAUGAGAGUAGCAGCAGAAUGGGGUUCCCACGAGCGGUUCCCACGCACGGCUUCCAUGGCCUUCUCCCCGUACAACUCUGCGUCCGU
rnacentral:lncRNA from 1 species